CAAUGGGACCCACAGACCAAUAAUUGAGUUAAAAAGCCCUGUUUUGAUGAUUAUCUUGAAAACUAGUACCGAUUGGACCCCGCUUUAUUAAUAUAAAGCUACUAAAUACGUAUUUUCAUGUCAUAAACGAUCCAAAGGGGUACCAAUUAUUUGUAAAUAUAAAUAGACCUUCCUAGAGUUGAUUUUCACCGUAGAAAUCAUUUCACCACUUUCUCUGCACGAAUACCGAGAGAAACCGAGCGGUGUUCUUCGUGUUCUUCAUAAUCAAACGAAGAUUUGAAGGCGUUAUUGGAGUCAGAAUCAAGCGUGCGAGUAGUCAAAUCGAAGAUAUUGAAGAGUAGAACUCAAAUCAAUCAUCAAAAACAACCUGAGAUUCACAGGGUUUGGACGAGACGUGGAUGACCGAAGACGUUCAGAAGGACAAGUGGUAUUGCAAAGCAAAUAAGGGAGGAAUCGAGUAAGCGAAGCGAUGUGACGAAUAGAGUAUAGCUAGAGAUGGUCUAGAGAUUACGAGAUGCAUAGAUUGUGAAAGUUGAAAGAUGAGAAUGAGCUGUGAAACUGGAGUCAGAUUUAAGAAAGGCUGAAAGAUGAGAUGAUUGAUUGAGAUUGGGAAUAAGGCUAAUGCUAGGCGAGGAGACAGAGUUGAGGAUCCAGUGGUCGAGGAGUGUUCAGGAAAGUUGAUGAGGUUGGUGCAAGCUGAAAUAGUUGACAGUGAUUCUUCUUAUCGAAGAUGAUCUGACUUGGUAAGAGAUGUUGUGUAGUAUUAGUGGUGGAUUCUAAUUUCAAUACUGUAACCUGGAAGCGAUCCUGUUGUUUUGGGGGUGAAGAUGUUCUCUUUCGGAAUCAAUUAUUAAAGUUUAAAUGUUAUCAUUCAAUUCUUUUAUUAUGGUUUUCAAGUUUGAAAUUCA